rnacentral:misc_RNA from 1 species
AUCGGUCUGCUAGAAGCAGGAAGAGCUAAUGAAUGGGUUGUCACUGAAAAACUGGGAAAUAAACUUCAGAAAAAUGCAGAUGCUUCCAAGAACAAAACCAAUGUCAAAAUGUUUAAAAGACCUCGGUUGAAAAUCAUUGACAGGCUCAACACAUUGGAGCUGGGAUUUGCAGCAUUCCUAUUCUUGUGUGGAUGUUAUGAUUUUGUUCAUGGCAAGAACAACUACUUUGUAUACCUUUUCCUCCAAACUAUUACCUUCUUUAUCACCGGAAUCGGCUACGUCGGCACCAUUAUCCCCAGCUCUUAGCUGCAACUGCAGAAGCUACUAGUGACAAGGAAAAAUUGGCGCAGCCCUUUUCGUGUUUUUCAUGUUGUGUUUAUGUUUGUUUCUACUCUGCGACACAAUAUAUAAGUGGGGAUACAUCAGCAAAUAUAGAUUGCAAUUCCUACUAUUUAAGAUCAUUUAAGAAAAAUAGGNNNNGCUUGGCAACAGAUGCCAUUCUCAAAAGAAUUAAUUCUGAAUCACUCAAGUGAAAGUAGAG